rnacentral:rRNA from 1 species
AGUGAACGCUGGCGGCGUGCUUAACACAUGCAAGUCGAACGCGAAAGUGUAGCAAUACAUGAGUAGAGUGGCGAACGGGUGAGUAAGAUGUGGGUAAUCUAGCUUUCAGAGGGGGAUAACCCGGGGAAACCUGGGCUAAAACCGCGUAACAUAUUGGGGUUUAAGGACCCUAAUAUCAAAACAUGGCCUCUAUUUAUAAGCUAUGGCUGAGAGAUGAGCCCACAUCCUANCACGCUUGUUGGUGGGUAACGGCCCACCAAGGCGACGACGGGUAGCCGGCCUGAGAGGGUGUCCGGCCACACUGGAACUGAGACACGGUCCAGACUCCUACGGAGGCAGCAGUGGGGAAUUUUUCGCAAUGGCGCAAGCCUGACGAAGCAACGCCGCGUAGA